UACGUAGGGGGCAAGCGUUCGUCCGGAAUCAUUGGGCGUAAAGAGCGUGUAGGCGGCCCGGUAAGUCCGCUGUGAAAGUCCAGGGCUCAACCCUGGGAUGCCGGUGGAUACUGUCGGGCUCGAGUCCGGAAGAGGAGUGUGGAAUUCCUGGUGUAGCGGUGAAAUGCGCAGGAUAAUCGGGAGGAACACCGGUGGCGAAGGCGGGUCUCUGGGCCGAUACGUGACGCUGAGGAGCGAAGACGUGGGGAGCGAACAGG
rnacentral:rRNA from 1 species